CGAACGGGUGAGUAAAGCAUCGGAACGUACCCAGUUGAGGGGGAUAACCAUCCGAAAGGAUGGCUAAUACCGCAUAAGUUCUGAGGAGAAAGUGGGGGACCUUCGGGCCUCACGCGACUGGAGCGGCCGAUGUCGGAUUAGGUAGUUGGUGGGGUAAAGGCCUACCAAGCCUGCGAUCCGUAGCGGGGUCUGAGAGGAUGAUCCGCCACACUGGGACUGAGACACGGCCCAGACUCCUACGGGAGGCAGCAGUGGGGAAUUUUGGACAAUGGGGGCAACCCUGAUCCAGCCAUGCCGCGUGAGUGAAGAAGGCCUUCGGGUUGUAAAGCUCUUUCGGACGGGAAGAAAACUGCCAUGAGAAUAUUGUGGUGGGCUGACGGUACCGUAAGAAGAAGCACCGGCUAACUACGUGCC
rnacentral:rRNA from 1 species